GACGAACGCUGGCGGCGUGCUUAACACAUGCCAGUCGAACGGAAAGGCCCUGCUUUUGUGGGGUGCUCGAGUGGCGAACGGGUGAGUAACACGUGAGUAACCUGCCCUUGACUUUGGGAUAACUUCAGGAAACUGGGGCUAAUACCGGAUAGGAGCUCCUGCUGCAUGGUGGGGGUUGGAAAGUUUCGGCGGUUGGGGAUGGACUCGCGGCUUAUCAGCUUGUUGGUGGGGUAGUGGCUUACCAAGGCUUUGACGGGUAGCCGGCCUGAGAGGGUGACCGGCCACAUUGGGACUGGGGUACCGCCCAGACUCCUACGGGAGGCAGCAGUGGGGAAUAUUGCACAAUGGGCGGAAGCCUGAUGCAGGAACGCCGCGUGCGGGAUGACGGCCUUUGGGUUGUAAACCGCUUUCGCCUGUGACGAAGCGUGAGUGACGGUAAUGGGUAAAGAAGCACCGGCUAACUACGUG
rnacentral:rRNA from 1 species